CCCUUGUUCCACUGGCCUUAGUAGCUCAUGAUACCUCCAUCUGCUAGCAAACCUCCAAUAACUCUGACCCCAUUCUCUGGGCAGGGUCACAAGGAGUCCUGCUUUUAAAUUGGGAGAUAAAAGUGGUAGCAGAAAGGGCCCGGAGAGGUAGAGCUCACAGGCUUGGCAGUGGUCAGGCCUCCAGGGGCUGUGUUUUCCUGGAGGUGCAUUUAUUGUGGGAGAAAAACUUUUACCCUUGAACCUUCUGCACUCAAAACCCCCACGGUCAAUUUUUCCAGCUCCCUGGGCCAGGGUCAGGUGCUCCCAGCUCUCUGGAGGCCCUGAUCUUUUGGCAGUGUGAUGGCAGCAUGACCACAACGACCUUGGUUUUGCUAAGACUAGUGCUGGCUCAUCUACAGGAUUCAGAUGUGUCCUUCACUCAGGGAGCAAGGAAACAGACAUGUUCUGCCCAAGGGCUACUGGCAACAUCCAAAAGGCAACAGUUGUUAACAGUUUCAUGGAUUUCCUUACAGUAGAGGAAGCUUCAAUAUAUAAUUUUUGAGGUUGGUGAUUCUCAACUAGGAGCUAUUUUGCCCCCCAUCCCCCACCCGGCAGUGUCUGGAGACAGUUUUGAUUGUCACAACUGCGAGAAGUGGGUGCUACUGGAAUCACUGGGUAGAGGCCAGCAAUGCUGCUAAACAUCCUACAUUGCACAGGACACCCCCACAGCAAAGAAUUAUCUAGCCCGAAAUGUUAACUGUGCUGAGGCUGAGAAACCCUGAUUUAAAAACUGUGCUCAUAUAAUAAAACCGUGUAUCCUCUUUUGAUUUAAUGUA
rnacentral:lncRNA from 1 species